rnacentral:rRNA from 1 species
AUGGAAUUGAGUUUGUCUCAUACGCUUCACCUUUUUAAUAUCUUUCAUGAGUAUGAUGGAAAGGAUAAUUGUGCUCAAGUUCUAGAAGAAGAAAUCUAUAAAAUGUUUGGCACUAAAUAUUUGAAUGAUGAGCAUGAUUGCAAUGUUGUUAGUAUGAAUUCCUUGAAUAUCCAUGAUGCUAAUGAUAUGCAAAGCCACAAGCUUGGGGAAGCUAUGUUUGAUGAAGAUGAUAUUUUUUGUCCCCCAAGUUUUGAUGAGCAAAUUUAUUAUGAUGAAAGCAUGCCUCCUAUCUAUGAUGAUUAUUGUGAUGACACAUAUGCUUUAAAGAAUAAUGAUAACAAUGAAACUUGUCAUCUUGAUUUCAAUUUUCAAUCCCAUGAUAGUUACUUUGUUGAGUUUGCUCCCACUACUAUUAAUGAGAAGAAAUUUGCUUAUGUGGAGAGUAAUAAAAUUUCUAUGCUUGUAGAUCAUGAAAAGAAUGCUUUAGGUGCUGGUUAUAUUUUUGAAUUCAUUCAUGAUGCUACUGGAAAUUAUUAUGAGGGAGGAACAUAUGCUUGUCGGAAUUGCAAUAAUAUCAAGUUUCCUCUCUAUGUGCUUAAAGUUUUGAAGUUAUGCUUGUUUUACCUUCCUAUGCAAGUUGAUUCUUGUUCCCACAAGUUGUUUGCUCACAAAAUCCCUAUGCAUAGGAAGUAUGUUAGACUUAAAUGUGCUAGUCAUAUUCUUUAUGAUGCUCUCUUUAUAUUACAAUCCUUAUCUUUUAUGUGA